ensembl:piRNA 21ur-4254 ncRNA
UACUCGGAUGAAAUUGAAAUC